CUAAUGUCACAACGGCUUCCUGACGUGGCAUUUCAUUUUUUACUGGAGCA
rfam:Sulfitobacter geojensis strain EhN01 A2_Contig7, whole genome shotgun sequence.